GACGAACGCUGGCGGCGUGCUUAACACAUGCAAGUCGAGCGGAGCGGCGAACGGGUGAGUAACCCGUGAGUAACUGCCCCCCUCUCUGGGAAAACAGUUGGAAACGGCUGCUAAUACCGGCUAGUGGGGGAUGACUCGCGUCCUUUCGGCUUGUUGGUGGGGUAGUGGCCUACCAAGGCGACGAGUGGUAGCCGGCCUGAGAGGGCGCACGGCCACAUUGGGCUGAGCUACGGCGCAAACUCCUACGGGAGGCAGCGGUGGGGAAUAUUGCCUAGUGGGGGAGACCCUGAUGCAGCAACGCCGCGUGCGGAAUGACGGCCGUCGGGUUGUAAACCGCUUUCAGCCAUGACGCGGUAGUUGCAUAAGAAGCACCGACUAACUACGUGCCAGCAGCCGCGGUAAUUC
rnacentral:rRNA from 1 species